rnacentral:rRNA from 1 species
UAUCUCUGUAGAGUCUGCAUAUCAAUAAGCGGAGGAAAAGAAACUAACUAGGAUUCCCUUAGUAACGGCGAGUGAAGCGGGAAGAGCUCAAAUUUGAAAUCUUCAAGGUUUUACCUUGACGAAUUGUAGUUUAAAGAAGUGUUUUCUGUUGGUGUUUUGGUAAAAGUUCUUUGGAAUAGGACAUCAUAGAGGGUGAGAAUCCCGUAUUUGACCAUUACUUCCAGCGUUGUGAUACACUUUCAAAGAGUCGGAUUGUUUGGGAAUGCAGUCCAAAAUGGGUGGUAAAUUUCAUCUAAAGCUAAAUAUUGGCGAGAGACCGAUAGCGAACAAGUACCGUGAGGGAAAGAUGAAAAGAACUUUGAAAAGAGAGUUAAACAGUACGUGAAAUUGUCAAAAGGGAAGCGUUUGACACCAGUGUUGUUUUCUCGAAAAUCAAUUAAAAAAAGUUGGAUUUUGUAUUGUUAAGACCUUAUCAGCUUACUGUACUCUUUUCUUGCUUUUUUUAAUGCACUUUUCGUUUAACAAGUCAACAUCAAUUUCUUUUGUUGUAAAAGAGUCAUUGGAAGGUGGCUUUCACUUCGGUGAAAGUGUUUAUAGCCUUUGGCCUCUGCAAUCGGAGAGAUUGAGGUCUGCAGCGUAGAUCCUUCGGGGUUAGGUACAUUUGUGCUAAGUUAUAGCCUUUCAUAGACAACUUGUUGACUAUGAUCAGUCAUGUAGCUUACUCGCUUAUGCUAUUUUACCUACGCUUAGGAUGUUGAAGUCAUCGUAUCGCGC